rnacentral:rRNA from 1 species
GAUGAACGCUGGCGGCGUGCCUAAUACAUGCCAGUCGAGCGAACAGAUAAGGAGCUUGCUCCUUUGACGUUAGCGGCGGACGGGUGAGUAACACGUGGGUAACCUACCUAUAAGACUGGGAUAACUUCGGGAAACCGGAGCUAAUACCGGAUAACAUUUGGAACCGCAUGGUUCUAAAGUGAAAGAUGGUUUUGCUAUCACUUAUAGAUGGACCCGCGCCGUAUUAGCUAGUUGGUAAGGUAACGGCUUACCAAGGCAACGAUACGUAGCCGACCUGAGAGGGUGAUCGGCCACACUGGAACUGAGACACGGUCCAGACUCCUACGGGAGGCAGCAGUAGGGAAUCUUCCGCAAUGGGCGAAAGCCUGACGGAGCAACGCCGCGUGAGUGAUGAAGGGUUUCGGCUCGUAAAACUCUGUUAUUAGGGAAGAACAAAUGUGUAAGUAACUGUGCACGUCUUGACGGUACCUAAUCAGAAAGCCACGGCUAACUACGUG